CCUACGGGAGGCAGCAGUGGGGAAUUUUCCGCAAUGGGCGAAAGCCUGACGGAGCAAUACCGCGUGAGGGACGAAGGCUUUUGGGUCGUAAACCUCUUUUAUUAGGGAAGAUUAUGACGGUACCUAAUGAAUAAGCAUCGGCUAACUCCGUGCCAGCAGCCGCGGUAAUACGGAGGAUGCAAGCGUUAUCCGGAAUGAUUGGGCGUAAAGCGUCCGCAGGUGGUUUUGUAAGUCUGCUGUCAAAGCGUUAGGCUUAACCUAAUAAAGGCAGUGGAAACUAUGAGACUAGAGUACGUUAGGGGUAGAGGGAAUUCCCAGUGUAGCGGUGAAAUGCGUAGAGAUUGGGAAGAACACCGGUGGCGAAAGCGCUCUGCUAGGACUGUACUGACACUGAGGGACGAAAGCUAGGGGAGCGAAUGGGAUUAGAUACCCUAGUAGUC
rnacentral:rRNA from 1 species